AGAGUUUGAUCCUGGCUCAAGAUGAACGCUAGCGGCAGGCUUAACACAUGCAAGUCGAGGGGCAGCAUGUCCAGUAAUGGAUGAUGGCGACCGGCGGAAGGGUGCGUAACGCGUGAGCAACAUGCCCUAUACAGGGAGAUACACCAGGGAAACUUGGUCUAAUAUCCCAUAGCAUUCAUUGAAGGCAUCUUUAAUGAAUUAAAGCUUCGGUGGUAUAGGAUUGGCUCGCGUGACAUUAGCCAGAUGGUGAGGUACCGGCUCACCAUAGCAAUGAUGUCUAGGGGUUUUGAGAGGAAGGCCCCCCACACUGGGACUGAGACACGGCCCAGACUCCUACGGGAGGCAGCAGUGAGGAAUAUUGGACAAUGGAUGGAAAUCUGAUCCAGCCAUGCCGCGUGCAGGAAGACGGCCUUAUGGGUUGUAAACUGCUUUUAUACGGGAGCAAUAAGGGUUACGAGUAAUCCGAUGAGAGUACUGUAUGAAUAAGGAUCGGCUAACUCCGUGCCAGCAGCCGCGGUAAUACGGAGGAUCCGAGCGUUAUCCGGAAUUAUUGGGUUUAAAGGGUGCGUAGGCGGCCAUUUAAGUCAGCGGUGAAAUUUUGCAGCUUAACUGUAACAGUGCCGUUGAUACUGUUUGGCUAGGAUUUGGUUGUAGUGUGCGGAAUGUGUGGUGUAGUGGUGAAAUGCGCAGAUAUCUGGAGGAACACCAGUGGCGAAGGCGGCCUCCUGGACCAUUCCUGACACUCAGACGCGAAAGCUAGGGUAGCAAACGGAAUUAGAGACUCCGGUAGUCCUAGCCCUAAACG
rnacentral:rRNA from 1 species